CCUAAACAAACAAGACAAACAGUUUAACAAAAAAAAACAAAAUCAAAUCUCAAUGUGCUCACCAAAGCAACACAGACCAAAUCAAUCUAUUAGGGAGGAGGAUUCCAGUCACCACCAAGAAGCCAAAGGCAGCAGAAAACAAACCAGUGUGCUCACCAAUGCUUAUCUUAUCUUACUAAUAUAUGAGGGAGCUGGGAGAGCUACAGUAACCAUGGCUCUCUUUUCACUUUCCAUUUAUGUCCCUCACCUUUAUUCAACUCAACUUUUGUUUGUUUGUUUGAGACUUUUGGAUUAUUUGGUAAAUUAACAGCCUUCCGUUACAAGCCAAGUUUGUUUCAGUCUCCGUUUCGCUCUUCCUAACGAUGCCGAGAUGAUGAAGAUGGGCACAAUGAAGAUCUGCAAAUCUGGACCACAAUAGGUUGACCAUCUUGACACCGACAGGUUCACGAUCUGGACAACGAUCUCUAAAUCUGAUGGGUUGAAUCAGAUUGAUCGAUCGAUUCGACUGCGGCUUCAAGUUCGAAAAUACAUCAAAGGUCUUUUGAAGCCUGAAGUAUUAAUGUUUGAUUUAUAUGGCAACCCUGGAGAAUAUUUAGAAUAGUCUGCAAGCGGGCAUUGCAUUCCCCACAGGAUGCUCUUUGAAUUGGACGAAUAGUUGACUAUGCUUUUACAGUGGCAUUCAAUCCUAUGUUUGAUCAUUUGCUUGAAGCGUCACAAGAAGCCAUGAACGUGGGAAUUCUGGUUUUGCUAAAACUACUGAAGGCAGGAAUGAUUUUGUUCUGGCGCAUUAUACAUUCAAGCAGUACACACAUCAAUUACUGUUAUUUUCUUCAAUGUAAUCUAUGGCUCAAUUAUAAAUGAUAUAUAGGACUUUUUAAUGUUGGAUAUAUUAAUGCAUGGAGCUAAAAUUCUUUUCAAUUGAGACAAUAUUUCUACUUGCUCA